ensembl:lncRNA
AUGUCACCAUCCCUUCAUCCAUCAUCCCUUCAUCCAUCUAUCAUACAUCCAUUCAUCCAUCUAUCAUACAUCCAUUCAUCCAUCUAUCAUUCAUCCAUUCAUCCAUCAUCCCUUCAUCCAUCUAUCAUACAUCAAUUCAUCCAUCAUCCAUUCAUCCAUCUAUCAUACAUGCAUUCAUCCAUCUAUCAUACAUCCAUUCAUCCAUCAUCCCUUCAUCCAUCUAUCAUACAUCCAUUCAUCCAUCAUCCAUUCAUCCAUCUAUCAUACAUCCAUUCAUCCAUCCAUCAUACAUCCAUUCAUCCAUCUAUCAUACAUACAUUCAUGCAUCAUCCAUUCAUCCAUCUAUCAUAUAUCCAUUCAUCCAUCAUCCCUUCAUCCAUCUAUCAUACAUCCAUUCAUCCAUCAUCCCUUCAUCCAUCUAUCAAACAUCCAUUCAUCCAUCUAUCAUACAUCCAUUCAUCCAUCAUCCAUUCAUCCAUCUAUCAUACAUCCAUUCAUCCAUCAUCCCUUCAUCCAUCUAUCAUACAUCCAUUCAUCCAUCUAUCAUACAUCCAUUCAUGCAUCAUCCAUUCAUCCAUCUAUCAUACAUCCAUUCAUCCAUCAUCCCUUCAUCCAUCUAUCAUACAUCCAUUCAUCCAUCAUCCAUUCAUCCAUCUAUCAUACAUCCAUUCAUCCAUCCAUCAUACAUCCAUUCAUCCAUCUAUCAUACAUACAUUCAUGCAUCAUCCAUUCAUCCAUCUAUCAUAUAUCCAUUCAUCCAUCAUCCCUUCAUCCAUCUAUCAUACAUCCAUUCAUCCAUCAUCCAUUCAUCCAUCUAUCAUACAUCCAUUCAUCCAUCUAUCAUACAUCCAUUCAUCCAUCAUCCAUUCAUCCACCUAUCAUACAUCCAUUCAUCCAUCAUCCCUUCAUCCAUCUAUCAUACAUCAAUUCAUCCAUCAUCCAUUCUUCCAUCCAUCAUACAUCCAUUCAUCCAUCUAUCAUACAUACAUUCAUGCAUCAUCCAUUCAUCCAUCUAUUAUAUAUCCAUUCAUCCAUCAUCCCUUCAUCCAUCUAUCAUAUAUCCAUUCAUCCAUCAUCCCUUCAUCCAUCUAUCAUACAUCCAUUCAUCCAUCUAUCAUACAUCCAUUCAUCCAUCAUCCAUUCAUCCACCUACCAUACAUCCAUUCAUCCAUCUAUCAUACAUCCAUUCAUCCAUCAAUCAUACAUCCAUUCAUCCAUCAAUCAUACAUCCAUUCAUCCAUCUAUCAUACAUCCAUUCAUUCAUCUAUCAUACAUCCAUUCAUCCAUCAUACAUUAAUCCAUCUAUCAUACAUCCAUUCAUCCAUCAUACAUUCAUCCAUAUAUCAUACAUCCAUUCAUCCAUCAUACGUUCAUCCAUAUAUCAUACAUCCAUUCAUUCAUCUACCAUACAUCUGUUCAUCGAUCAUACAUUCAUCCAUCUAUCAUACAUCCAUUCAUCCAUCAUACAUCCAUUCAUCCGUCAUACGUUCAUCCAUCUAUCAUACAUCCAUCAUCCAUCUAUCAUACAUCCAUUCAUCCAUCUAUCAUACAUCCAUUCAUCCAUCAAUCAUUCAUCCAUUCAUCCAUCUAUCAUGCAUCCAGUCAUCCAUCUAUAAUACAUCCAUUCAUCCGUCAUCCAUUAAUCCAUCUAUCAUACAUACAUUUAUCAUACAUGCAUUCAUCCAUCAUCCAUUCAUCCAUCUAUCAUACAUCCAUUCAUCCAUCAUCCAUUUAUCAUACAUCCAUUCAUCCAACUAUCAUACAUCCAUUCAUCCAUCUAUCAUACAUACAUUCAUCCAUCCAUCAUACAUCCAUUCAUCCAUCAUCCAUUCAUCCAUCUAUCAUACAUCCAUUCAUCCAUCUAUCAUACAUCCAUUCAUCAAUCUAUCAUACAUACAUUCAUUCAUCAUCCAUUCAUCCAUCUAUCAUACAUCCAUUCAUCCAUCAUACAUUCAUCCAUCUAUCAUACAUCCAUUCAUCCAUCUAUCAUACAUCCAUUCAUCCAGCAAUCACACAUCCAUUUAUCCAUCAUCCAUUCAACCAUCUAUCAUUUAUCCAUGUAUCCAUCUAUCAUACAUCCAUUCAUCCAUCUAUCAUACAUUGAUUCAUCCAUCAUCCAUUCAUCCAACUAUCAUACAUUCAUUCAUACAUCUAUCAUACAUCCAUUCAUCCAUCAUCCAUUCGUCCAUCUAUCAUACAUCCAUUCAUCCAUCUAUCAUACAUCAAUUCAUCCAUCUAUCAUGCAUCCAUUCAUCCAUCAUACAUUCAUCUAUCAUCCAUCCAUCAUACAUCCAUCCAUCAUCCAUUCAUCCAUCUAUCAUCUAA